rnacentral:rRNA from 1 species
CACGUAGGCGGACAUUUAAGUCAGGGGUGAAAUCCCGGGGCUCAACCCCGGAACUGCCUUUGAUACUGGGUGUCUGGAGUCCGGAAGAGGUGAGUGGAAUUCCGAGUGUAGAGGUGAAAUUCGUAGAUAUUCGGAGGAACACCAGUGGCGAAGGCGGCUCACUGGUCCGGUACUGACGCUGAGGUGCGAAAGCGUGGGGAGCAAAACA